rnacentral:other from 1 species
GCCCUACUGCGGUGUACGUUAUUGGCUGGGUAAUAUUCCUUGAGCCUAACUAUUUACCCCGGGGUAUGGUUGUAGCCGGUUGUUGAGCAUGACCGCUUUAGAAAUGCGGGAAGCCUGAUGCCGAACAACUCUCCCCACCUGAACCCCCUGGUUCAAGGUAGCUAAGGCCAAAACGGCACAUGUGGUGGGCAC